GAAGCGGACGGCCUUCGAGCAGUUCGGUGCACGAGCACGGAGCCUGCCGACUGACGCCCUCCAAUCACCACUCACACGCCCUGCCAUUCACUUGGCUACGACCUUGCCGAGCGUCCCGUAGGCCCGAAGCAAUUGCCGUCGGGUCUACGGAAGCACCAAGCAAGGCUAAGCCAGCACCGUCGGACGCGAAAAGCAGCACACAUUUACUUUUUUCCGCAAAAACAAGGCCAUUCACUUGGCUACGACCUUGCCCAGCGUCCCGCAUGCCCGAAAAAGUUGCCGUUGGGUCUACGGAAGCACCAAACAAGGCUAAGCCAGCACCGUCGGACGCGAAAAGCAGCACACAUUUACUUUUUCCGCAAACAACAAGGCCGUUCACUUGGCUACGACCUUGCCGAGCGUCCCGCAUGCCCGAAGCAAUUGCCGUUGGGUCUACGGAAGCACCAAGCAAGGCUAAGCCAGCACCGUCGGACGCGAAAAGCAGCACACAUUU
rnacentral:lncRNA from 1 species